CCCUUAGAUGUUCUGGGCCGCACGCGCGCUACACUGAUUCAUGCAACAAGUUUUGUCCUUGGCUGAUAGGCCUGGGUAAUCUUUGAACGUGAAUCGUGAUGGGGAUAGAUGAUUGCAAUUAUUCAUCUUCAACGAGGAAUUCCUAGUAAACGCAAGUCAUCAGCUUGCAUUGAUUACGUCCCUGCCCUUUGUACACACCGCCCGUCGCACCUACCGAUUGAAUGGUCCGGUGAAAUCUUCGGAUCUGAGAGAGGUCUGAUUAAUUUCGGACGCCUUUUGGAAAAGUUGUUUAAACCUUACCAUUUAGAGGAAGGUGAAGUCGUAACA
rnacentral:rRNA from 1 species